UUCAGGUCUGAUUCUGAGAGACUGUUAGUCCAGCUGUCAACUCCUCAGCUGCCAAGGGCUAUCUUAAUGAAUCUGAUGUGUGUGGACAAGAGAAAUGGUAAGAAGCAAACAUCUUCCCUUUAACUGCAGGCCUCUAGUUAGCCCUGAAUCUUCCACGGGACAUGGAAACAGUUUUUUUCUUCA